AUUGAACGCUGGCGGCAUGCCUUACACAUGCAAGUCGAACGGCAGCACGGGGGCAACCCUGGUGGCGAGUGGCGAACGGGUGAGUAAUGCAUCGGAACGUGCCCAGUAGUGGGGGAUAACCAGUCGAAAGACUGGCUAAUACCGCAUACGACCCAAGGGUGAAAGCGGGGGACCGUAAGGCCUCGCGCUAUUGGAGCGGCCGAUGUCUGAUUAGCUAGUUGGCGGGGUAAGAGCCCACCAAGGCGACGAGCAGUAGCUGGUCUGAGAGGACGACAAGCCACACUGGGACUGAGACACGGCCCAGACUCCUCCGGGAGGCAGCAGUGGGGAAUUUUGGACAAUGGGCGCAAGCCUGAUCCAGCCAUGCCGCGUGCGGGAAGAAGGCCUUCGGGUUGUAAACCGCUUUUGGCAGGAACGAAACGGCGCAGGCCAAUACCUUGCGCUAAUGACGGUACCUGCAGAAUAAGCACCGGCUAACUACGUGCCAGCCGCCGCCGUAACAC
rnacentral:rRNA from 1 species